CGGACAGGACACAAUUAAAAGCACUGCUGACUUUGAGCAAACUCUACCCACAGGACUUACAUAAGGAUUCUUUCACCUAGAAAGAGGAUUCAGACAACAUAACAUCUAAAAUAACAAACUGAAAAAUUAAUGAAAGUACAAAACAAAAAUACAAGCUUCAUUGCUUUUAAACCCUCUUGUCUGUCCAUUGUACUGUAAGUGCACAGCUGACAACAAUGUUGUUGCAGGAUCAAAAGUGAUGUUUUUAUGCUUAAUAUUUACUGUGACCAAUCCUUAAGACUAUUAAUUCAUGAAUACAGUUUACUAAUCCUUGCACAUGGAUGGAUUAACCCUGCUCAUAUUAUCACAGAGUUUGAUAAUGUAGGUCUAAUGGGAAAAAAUAGUUCUUUCACUAUGAAAUAUUAACACAGAAGCACAAUAUCAAGUCUUUGUAGUUUUGUGUGUCCAAAAGAUAAUUUGGCAUAUAUGCUCUGUGAUGCCAUCUUUGAUUUGCUGUAUCUGUUCACAGUGUGGCCCCUGCAAUCCAAUCUAUAUUGUGAAUGCCAGCUGUCUACAGAAUCUAAUGUUACUCCAUCCUAUCUGUCUGUGGGGUACAGUCUGUUGGUGCUUCCUCUCGGCUGGCGGAGAAUGAGGAAAUCACACAGGGACAUCUGCGAGGACCUGUGAGACGCCAAGCUCCUGUACUCAACCAGAACGUCUGCUAUCAGGCUGUGUCUACGCUGCGUGAUUACCACAACACAGAUAAGAAACCUUGUGAUUAUAAUAUUACAGCUGUCACAUUGACCCGCAGGCUUGAUGUAAACAAGGGUGUCAUCCACUAGUGAAUGUGGAUGUGAGCAUCUGACAUACUGUCAGCAGAAUUUAAAAUGAUAUGUACAUACUCAUCACUUUGUGGUCUCACACAUCAAAUGCCUAGAUACUUCAAACUAGGACACUUGUCAACAGACGUCCAAGCCUGACAUGUUCAUUCAGAUCCAUAAUAUAUAAGCUUAUAAAACUGCUCACUAUUAGACACACAUGUAUUGUGAACUCAUGUAAAUGGUAGUAAAACAAGUAGCUUUGUACAUAAAAAAAUUUCAGUGUAGGCCUACGUAUUAUGUAAAAGAGCUUUGAUGGGUGAAUACCCUCCUUUAACUGCUUAUUGCUGAAUUUCUCCUCUGGCUGAAUUAAACCAGGCACACUGAGUAAUGACAAACCUUACCAAGUCAAGCAUGUACUUUUCAGACAAAUAAAACCACAGAGAUUUAGGACAUAAAGUAAAGUGUCUGUGUGAGAGAGGGAAUCUGUUUGUUUCUUAAAGCAAGAGCAGAAACUGUCUAUCUAUCUGUCUGUCUGUCUGUCUGUCUAUCUAUCAUUUAGAAAUUAUUUGCAGCAUAUAUUUUAUUUAAUUUUUUAUCAAUAAAUUAUUCAUAUCUACAACUUUACACAGACAAUCACAUCAAAAAAUGGAAAAAAAGAAAAUAAAACAAAAUAUGUGGCAAAGCAUUUCAUUAUUAUCAUCAUCAUUUAUUAUUAUUAUUAUUGUUGUUGUUGUUUUGCUGUAUACAUUUCAUUUUAUAUUAAUUUAUCGUAGUUUAUAUCAAUAAACUAUUGAUAUCUAUUAUCUACAUAUUUCAGCAGUAUUAGCAUAUUUUUAUAUGUGAUCCUGGACCACAAAACCAGUCAUAGGGGUCUUGAGAUUUAUGGCUUGUUAGGAUAGGACAAUAUUUGGCCAAGAUACAACUAUUUGAAGAAUCUGGAAUCUCAAAAAUGAAGUUUUGAUGUACAGUAUUUAUGGUAGGAAAUUUACAAAAUAUCUUCAUGGAACAUGAUCUUUACUUAAUAUCCUAAUGAUUUUUGGCAUAAAAGAAAAAUCUAUAAUUUUGACCCAUACAAAUAUACCCUGGUUUUGUGGUCCAGGGUCACAUAUUUCAACAAUAUAUUCAUUUAUACCAGAAUAACAUACCAUAAAGUAUUAUUAAUAUAUCAGAAUUAAUUUUUUCCUGUCAGCUGUUUAAACAUUUUCACUUCACUUGAAGGACUGUCACCAUGCUUAAAAAGAUAUAUGCUGUGAAACCCCGUUCCCUUUUCAUUACUAUGAGCUGUGCAGGUUUAUAUUUUGACAGGUUUUUCUGAGGAUAUAGAUAAGCCUGGCAAGUUUCCAGCUUACUUGUAAGAUUUGUCACGAAUCUGUCAACCAGUUUCUAGAAACGUCUCUGGAGGCUUGAAAAGUUUACAUGCAGAAAGUAUCAGCAAUGAAAGUGACCUACAGAAGCGAUGUGUCAGUGGAGAUUAAAGCUCAUGCGUUUACAAUGCGCUCCCAUUGGCUUCACAUCAAGGGACCGCUUAUGUCCCAAAAGGCAAGGAUUUGUGGGUGAAUGCUGUUCAUUCGGUCCCUCCCAUUGCUCGAGUCCUUCAGAGCUGCCUCUAAGCAAAGGGUAAGGAGUUGAAGGACUCUGCCAUACACGCUAUUCUGGCACACACGCAUGGCUGUACCUUCAGCAGGAGGUUUUUCAUUCAUCACGCACCACCACGUAAACUUAAAUCGGCUGUCUGUGUGACAAACGGCUCUGCCCUGACAAAGCACCAAUGCAGGUACACGUUCCUCAUCUAUCAAAAGGCAACAAGGUCAUUUAUAUCUCACGCAUCCUUUUGCUUCACCCUCAAGGUCACUGAAUCUUAUAGAUCAAGCGUACCUAUUAACGGAAGUGAG
ensembl:lncRNA